rnacentral:rRNA from 1 species
UACGUAGGGUGCAAGCGUUAAUCGGAAUUACUGGGCGUAAAGCGUGCGCAGGCGGUUUUGUAAGUCAGAUGUGAAAUCCCCAGGCUUAACCUGGGAACUGCAUUCGAGACUGCAUUGCUAGAGUAUGGGAGAGGGAAGUGGAAUUUCCGGUGUAGCGGUGAAAUGCGUAGAUAUCGGAAGGAACAUCAGUGGCGAAAGCGACUUCCUGGACCAAUACUGACGCUCAUGUGCGAAAGCGUGGGGAGCAAACAGG